UCAGCAAUUGGUCUUUGCAGAGUAAACUC
rnacentral:piRNA from 1 species